rnacentral:rRNA from 1 species
GUAGGGAGCAAGCGUUGUCCGGAUUUAUUGGGCGUAAAGAGCGUGUAGGCGGCCAGGCAGGUCCGUUGUGAAAACUGGAGGCUUAACCUCCAGACGUCGAUGGAAACCGUCUGGCUAGAGUCCGGAAGAGGAGAGUGGAAUUCCUGGUGUAGCGGUGAAAUGCGCAGAUAUCAGGAAGAACACCCGUGGCUAAGGCGGCUCUCUAGUACGGUACUGACGCUGAGACGCGAAAGCGUGGGGAGCGAACAGGAUUAGAUACCCUGGUAGUCCACGCCGUAAACGAUGGGUGCUAGGUGUGGGGGGUGUCGACUCCCUCCGUGCCGAAGCUAACGCAUUAAGCACCCCGCCUGGGGAGUACGGCCGCAAGGCUAAA